ACGAACGCUGGCGGCGUGCUUAACACAUGCAAGUCGAACGCUGAAGACCUGGCUUUUGUUGGGUUGGAUGAGUGGCGAACGGGUGAGUAACACGUGAGUAACCUGCCCUCUUCUUUGGGAUAACGCCCGGAAACGGGUGCUAAUACUGGAUAUUCACUGAUCUUCGCAUGGGGGUUGGUGGAAAGGUUUGUUCUGGUGGGGGAUGGGCUCGCGGCCUAUCAGCUUGUUGGUGGGGUGAUGGCCUACCAAGGCUUUGACGGGUAGCCGGCCUGAGAGGGUGACCGGUCACAUUGGGACUGAGAUACGGCCCAGACUCCUACGGGAGGCAGCAGUGGGGAAUAUUGCACAAUGGGCGAAAGCCUGAUGCAGCGGCGCCGCGUGAGGGAUGGAGGCCUUCGGGUUGUAAACCUCUUUCGCUCAUGGUCAAGCCGCAACUGUGGGUUGUGGUGAGGGUAGUGGGUAAAGAAGCGCCGGCUAACUACGUG
rnacentral:rRNA from 1 species